UGCAUCUGGGGCCUGCGAGGAUGAGAACCUCCGGGGGCAGGAGGUUCGACUCGAGCGAAGCGAGAGAACGUUGCGUCAGCAACGGCCCGCAGG
rnacentral:sRNA from 2 species